GACGAACGCUGGCGGCGUGCUUAACACAUGCAAGUCGAACGGAAAGGCCCUGCUUUUGUGGGGUGCUCGAGUGGCGAACGGGUGAGUAACACGUGAGUAACCUGCCCUUGACUUUGGGAUAACUUCAGGAAACUGGGGCUAAUACCGGAUAGGAGCUCCUGCUGCAUGGUGGGGGUUGGAAAGUUUCGGCGGUUGGGGAUGGACUCGCGGGUUAUCAGCUUGUUGGUGGGGUAGUUGAUUACCAAGGCUUUGAAGGGUAGCCGGCCUGAGAGGGUGACCGGCCACAUUGGGCCUGAGAGACGGCCCAGACUCCUACGGGAGGCAGCAGUGGGGAAUAUUGCACAAUGGGCGGAAGCCUGAUGCAGCAACGCCGCGUGCGGGAUGACGGCCUUCGGGUUGUAAACCGCUUUCGCAUGUGACGAAGCGUGAGUGACGGUAAUGGGUAAAGAAGCACCGGCUAACUACGUG
rnacentral:rRNA from 1 species